rnacentral:rRNA from 1 species
UACAGAGGUCCCGAGCGUUGUUCGGAUUCACUGGGCGUAAAGGGUGCGCAGGCGGCCAAGUGUGUGAGGCGUGAAAGCCCGGGGCUUAACCCCGGAAUUGCACCUCAAACUACAUGGCUAGAGCAUUGGAGAGGGUAGCGGAAUUCACGGUGUAGCAGUGAAAUGCGUAGAUAUCGUGAGGAACACCAGAGGCGAAGGCGGCUACCUGGACAAUUGCUGACGCUCAGGCACGAAAGCGUGGGGAGCAAAAGGG